rnacentral:lncRNA from 1 species
GACAGCUCUACAAAAUGUUCCUUUAAUGCAUUUUAUGGGUUCUUCUAAAGUCAUUACUAUGUGCUGGAUAUUGUAUUAGGUGCUAAGAAUACAAGAAGAAAACACAUGUCUCUUCCCUCAUGAAGCUUAUAUUCUGCCAGAGAAAUGCUACAUUGCAUUUUAAAUUUUAUUUAUGCAACUGUCCUAAUGAAGUAUUUGAGAUGCUAGGUGAAGAAUUUGGAGAUUGCUGGCAGUAUCCAUUUCUGGAGAUUAUUACUAUGGAGAUUUUUAUACUUUGAAAAAAAAAAUCACCUUUACUCCCACAGAAGUGAGGAGAAAACCAGAAAGUCACCGCCAGUCAUAAUAACUGAGGGUAGUUGGAGGAACAGCUGCAAGUUUCAGGAAAGACGAACUGUCUCAAUAUGCAAGAUGACCUUUCUUAGAACUGGAACUUACAAGAAAUCAGGCAGCAUGUUCUAAACACUAACAACCUAAAAACUAAAAAAUGAACAAACAAAAAUGAUGCUGGAUAAUCAUAGAGGCUGGAUAUUCACAGAUAGUAUGGGUUCAGGGAGUGCUUCUGCCUUGGGAAGGAGGUUGAAGUAGAUUGCCUUUGAGGUUUCUUUAUAGCCUAAGGAAACUAAAAUACAUACAGCAAUUGUGAAGUUAUAUAUUCUCAAGAGAAAGAUUUCUCAACCACCAAAUAUACCCAAGAUGCUAAUAUUCUAUUUAUGUUUUAUAAUUAUUUAACAACGAUCUCAAACCAGAGUAAAGAAAAACAGGCUUUGUUAAUUACUGAAGAGAGAAUAAAAUUAUAGCUUUUACCAGAUAUUCUUUUGCCUUGUUAGAAAUCUUACUAUUCAUUGGUCAAACAUCUGUCAUAUUAUAUAGGUAAAUCACUAUGGUCAAUGGUCAGUCCAGUGCCCCCCAACCCCCCCACCAUCACCAGCACCAGCUCCCUGGAAAUGUUUCUAAAAUCUUUCCAAUUGCUUCUGCCUCUAUGUUCCAAUUAAUUUGUCACCCAUGUAUCUGAGUUUAGUGCCAACUUCAGAUAACUCAUUUUGUCUUAUGAUAAUUUAACCUGCCACUCCUUGCUUCUAUAAUUUAUAAGUACAACCUCCACAGUAAAAAUAAAAACUCACAUUUUUGAUAAGCAGCCUCUACAAGUUGACUGGAACUUAGUCACUGAUUUCUAAGCUAUUAAGUAUUUGAUUACACCCCUUCCUCCAGCUCUGAUUCAAAAAGUGCUUCUGGGAAAGACUUGCUUCACUUUCAAACUGUGGUGAGACAUCACAGGAAGAGCUCUUGGGUUGGUUUUUAAGGAAGAGUCCAGGUUAACCUAACACCAGAACACAGUACAACUAUACCCGACCACUGGUUCCUCACCUUGCAGGCAAACCAGGCUGAACUGUCUCCUAAAUUGUGUAUCAAAUUAUUUCUUGGGUUCAGAACAACCUCAGUGGUUGGCACAUCAGUAAUAGCUUUAGUAGCUGACAUUUAUAGAUGCUAUUUUUUUGGAACUUUACAGAGAGCUUUAUAUAUAGUUUCUCAUUGAAUCCUUGCAACAACCCUCUGAAGAAGGUUCUAUUUUUACCAUUUUAUAGGGUCUGAGGCUUAGCAGAGUUAGGUACUGGCCUAAAGCCAGUCAGUAAAGGCAGCACCCUUGGGACUGGAACCUGGGGUAAUAUGCUUUUAGCACAGCAAAGAAGGAGACAGUAAGAUGUGAUAGGCUAUGGGAGAAAGCUGGGCCAUCACCUUUUCCUUUCUCCAUGCCUGACUGCCCUACCUACGGAAUCUCACUCCCACCUAUUCUUUUCCUUUUUCCUUUUUAGGGCUGCACCUAUGGCAUAUGGAAUUUCCCAGGCUAAGGGUCGAAUCGAAGCUGCAGCUGGUGGCCUAAGCCACAGCCACAGCAAAGCCAAAUCCGAGCUGCAUCUGCAACCUAUGCCUCAGCUCAUGGCAACACCAGCACCUUAACCCACUGAGCGAGCCCAGGAACUAUUAUCCUCAUGGAUACUAGUCGGGUUCUUAAGCUGAUAAGCCACAACAGUAAUUCCUCACUCUCACCUAUUCUUAACAAAUAAACAUUUACUUUGUUUUUGUUUUAUUUUACCUUACGGAAAUAGUCUACUACUUGGUAAAGUUUCUAUUUAAUGCAUCCAGAUACAGAGAGGUUCCUCUCUACACAGCCAUGUAAAGCUCUGCUAAAGGAUAAGCUAAGUGAGUGAUUUACCAGAAACAGAAUAAAAAAGGGAAACUGCUCUGGACUUGAAGGGGGAAAAUAUGGAGACUUUGCAACCAUGAAGGAAGACAGAGCAGUGAAUACCUGUGUAUUCUUCUGUUUCCUAAUUGAAAUGGGCACUGGCACAACAGGGACUAUUGCUAUCAGCCCCAUCAGAGAUGUGCAGCUUGAUAAGGAAUGUCCAAGAGUCAUUUGAGGGCUGAUUAGUGGGGAAUGGGGCCUUUGAAAGACUCUAGGCACUGAAAAUUUUGAUGCCCUAUUCCCUCCACUCUAUAUAAUUAAAAAACAAUACUGUACCAACCCAUAAAAUAGAAAUCAUACAUAUAUGUUGGAACUAAUAUUGCUUUUUUCUUAUUAAAAAAAAAAAUCUGGUCUCUCUCUUUUGAGUGUGUUGUUGGAUUGAGCACUGUUUAUUUUUGUCUACUAGUAAUCCAGUGCUAGGCAGUCAAAAUUUAAGGUUCUAGAAGGCCAAUUAACUGCAAAGAGAAAAAAAUGAGUUAAUCUAAAGCUUAUCAGCCAAACAAACCAAAAAAUGGGCAGAAGAUCUCAAUAGACAUUUUUUUCUAAGACAGAAAGAUGGCCAAAAACACAUUAAAAAGAUGCUUGACAUUGCCAAGUAUUAGAGAAAUGCAAAUCAAAACUACAAUGAGAUAUGACUUAACAACAGUCAGAAUGGCCAUCAUCAAAAGUCUACAAACAAUAAUGGCUGGAGAGGGUGUGGAGAAAAGGGAACCCUCCUACCUUGUGGGUGGGAAUGUAAAUUGGUAUAACCAUUCUGGAGAACAGUAUGAAUGUUCCUCAAAAAACUAAAAAAAAAGAAUAAGCAUAUGAUCCAGCAAUCCCACUCAUAGGCAUAUACUCAGAGAAAACCAUAAUUCAAAAAGAUACAUGCACCCCUAUGGUCACUGCAGCACUGUUUACAAUAGCCAAGAAAUGGAAGCAACCUAAACAUCUACUGACAGAUGAAUGGUUUAAGAAGAUGUGGUACAUACACAAAAUGAAAUAUUACUUAGCCAUAAGAAAGAGUGAAAUAAUGCCAUUUGCAUCAACAUGGAUGGACCUAGAGAUUAUCACACUGAUAUCUCAGAUAUCCCUUAUACAUGGAAUCUAAUAAAAAUGAUACAAAAGAACUUAUUUAUAAAACAGAAACAAAGAGAUUUUGAAACCCAGCUUAUAGUUACCAUAGGAGAAACCAUGGGGGGAGGGAUAAAUUAGGAACAGAAUAACAUAUACACACCACUGUAUAUAAAAAUAGAUAAUUAACAAGGACCUACUAUAUAACACAGGGAAAUCUAUUUAAUACUCUGUAAAAACCUAUAUGGGCAAAAAGAAUGGAUAUAUGAAUAUGUACAACUAACUCACCUUGAUGUACACCUAAAACUAUAUAACAUUGUAAGUCCACUAUACUUCAAUAAAAUAAAAAAAUAAAUAAACCUCAUCAGUGUCUAACUUGAAUGUAUAACAAUACUUCACUAAGACUCAAGCAAUGAAGUACAUCAGCAGUUUUCAAAUGUUUUGGGAAACCCCAAGUCCUAUAGAGAAGAUUCUGGGACUGCUCGGAACUGGGAUGGGUGAGGAAGCAGGACAGGAAAACCAAGGGCUCCUUACCCCCUUCCCACCCCAGAGUAAUUCCGCUUUGAUCUAAUUUAUGCAUUUAAAAGGCCUACAAAAGAUUUUAUUUGUAAAUGGGGCUAUGCCACUGAAUCAAAAGUAUAGCACUGUACGAUUGUCAUUUUAACGAUGGCAACGGAUCACAAAAGUAUUUGUUUUUUUCUGACUCUGGAACUAAAUCCCUGAAUCAAUCCAACUAAUGUAUAUACUCUGUGAGGACAGACUAGCCUUCAUCCUCAUCUUCAUAUGCCCAUGCAGCCAGUAGAACCCUACCCACUAUGGGGACUAGCAAAGUGUUGACUGAAUACGUGGUGUGUCCCCCUCCCCCAAUAUUACAUAAAUAUAAAAGUUAUCUGCUUCUCAGAAAGUUCAUGACAGAAAAUGAAACAGGCUGUUUUCAAAUGGAGUUGAUAAGACCUGCAGUACAUUUAGUCCAACACUUUCUGGCUUCCCAGUCCAAGUAUUUUAUUUUAGUAAUUGAUUUGGGUUGCAAUCUAUUCAAGUGUAAUCACAUCUCCAACUUUUUAUUGAAUUUAAUUUCUUGGGAUAUUUGCUGCAUGAUAUAGUAAAGGUGUUGAAGUAUACCAGACACACUAUUCUAAUUUCCCAGACAAACUUUGAGUGACUGAUUCCAGGAUGACAGCAGCUUUGCUUUCAUAACUAUUUUAAAAAACACUUCUGGUAUCAAAAAUUAUAAAAACCAGCAAACAAAAAACCAUUCAAACCAAACAAAAUGCAGAGUUGAACUUCCCCCAGAGGGGAGCAGGAAUCUUGGAAUCCAUUCAAAGCCCUUAGUGUGGAUGCAGGUAAAUGAGGUUUGCCCGGGGCCUCUGAAGGUCCCCUCCCUUUCAAUCUGUUCGUCCUUUUGUGACACUCUUCACAACCUUCAGGCCUCUCCUUUCCUCUUGCCUACUGAAAAGAGAAUGUGAUAAACCUAGUCAUGCUAAGAUGUAGCAGGUGGAGCAAUUUAACGUGUCACCCUCUCCUUGAAAGAAGACUGGCAGAUAAGAAACAUCAAGUCAAUGCUGUCACAUUAGUGAUCUGGAUAAUUCUAACGAUUUUUCUCUUCAAUCUUCUUCAAAAAAUUUUUACAAAGCCAGGGGAAGCUUAAUCUCAGCACAUUUAUACUGACAAAGCAUGACUAAUAAAAUGGCCCCUGCCCUCCAUGAACUUAACAUUAGUGAAGGUAUUUACAGGUUACUUGCAUUUCUUCUAGAGAUAAUUUAAAGGAUGAGCAAGGUAUCCAAUAGUAACUGUAGCUACUUCUGCCUUUCCUACUCUGAAAGAACAAGCCAGAUGUGAUGUGGAUGUACUAAUCCCAUAUGGCAUAUUUCUUCAACCACCAAAUGAAAGCAAAUGCUUUAGCUUGACAUUCAAGGCCUCCCAUAAUCUGACUCCUCCUGCCUGGUCAACCCUAUUUCUAAUUCCCAAUAUACACAAUUAAACCAUUUCAAGCCCUCAGCAUUCUCUGUUCUUUUAUGUUUUUUAAAAAAAUAUCUACUUCCAUGGAAACAAAUACCCCAAAGCCUACUGGUUAAAAUAAUAAACAUUUAUUAUCUUAUAAAUUUAGGAAAUGCUUAGCUGGGUGGUUUCUGGCUUGGAAUUUCUCAGGAGGCUGACAUCACCCUUGGUAGAUCUGCUUCUGAGGGCUCAUUUAAAAGCUGGUGGUGGUUGUUGAGGGGGGGUCUCAGUUUCUCUCCACAUGGCUCUCUUCUACUACUGUUGGAGUGUAGUUGUUGGCCUCUCACUCACUUCGGUAAGUGACCCACGAAAGUGCUUAGGUGCAACCUCUCCUUUAUAUCAUAUCCUCACAAGCCACACUGCAUCACUUCCUCCAAAACUCUACGUUAGAAGUGAAUCCCUAGGCCCAUAUUCAAAGGGAGAAUUACGUUCUACCUUUGAAGACAGGGUCAAUGAAUUUGUGGACAUAUUUUGAACCACAAUAAUGUUUCCACCCCAUUGCUCAUUCUGUUCCACUGCUCAGAAUGCCCUUUUCCAUAUCUACAGAGUGCAAUCCUACAAGACUUUAUAUAUGCAUUUGGCAGCAUCCCUGGUCUCUUACCACUAGAUUUAAGCAGCACCCUGAACCCUCAUCACGGGAACCAAAGAAAUGUCUCCGGACAUUACCAAAUAUUCCAUGGUGAACACAAAUCACUCCUGUUUUAGACCACAGUUCUAGAUGGUAAGUUCUGUGAUUCUAUUCUUCCACUUCAAUAUUAAAACGGUUUACUAUGUUGAUAUAGUCUCUAGCCCCAAAGACUAUAUUCUAACAAGCUAAGAGAAGAACAAAACUAUUCCUUUUUUAUUUUAUGUUGCUGUCCAACCCUCCUUAGGCUUCCUUCAUUCCUCUGGCCUGGCUCAAAUACCA